rnacentral:rRNA from 1 species
GUCGAACGGUAAGGCCCCUUCGGGGGCACACGAGUGGCGAACGGGUGAGUAACACGUGAGCAACCUGCCUCUGACUUUGGAAUAACAGUUGGAAACAGCUGCUAAUACCGGAUAUGACUCACCUUCGCAUGGGGGUGGGUGGAAAGCUCCGGCGGUCAGGGAUGGGCUCGCGGCCUAUCAGCUAGUUGGUGAGGUAAUGGCUCACCAAGGCUUCGACGGGUAGCCGGCCUGAGAGGGCGACCGGCCACACUGGGACUGAGAUACGGCCCAGACUCCUACGGGAGGCAGCAGUGGGGAAUAUUGCACAAUGGGCGAAAGCCUGAUGCAGCAACGCCGCGUGCGGGAUGACGGCCUUCGGGUUGUAAACCGCUUUCACCCAUGACGAAGCGAAAGUGACGGUAGUGGGAGAAGAAGCACCGGCCAACUACGUGCCAGCAGCCGCGGUGAUACGUAGGGUGCGAGCGUUGUCCCGGAAUUAUUGGGCGUAAAGGGCUUGUAGGCGGUCUGUCGCGUCCGAAGUGAAAACUCGAAGCUUAACUUCGAGCCUGCUUCCGAUACGGGCAGACUAGAGGGAUGCAGGGGAGAACGGAAUUCCNGGUGGAGCGGUGGAAUGCGCAGAUAUCAGGAGGAACACCGGUGGCGAAGGCGGUUNCUCUGGGCAUUACCUGACGCUGAGAAGCGAAAGCGUGGGGAGCAAACAGGCUUAGAUACCCUGGUAGUCCACGCCGUAAACGGUGGGCACUAGGUGUGGGGGACAUUCCACGUUCUCCGUGCCGAAGCUAACGCAUUAAGUGCCCCGCSUGGGGAGUACGGCCGCMAGGCUAAAACUCMAAGGAAUUGACGGGGGCCCGCACAAGCGGCGGAGCAUGCGGAUUAAUUCGAUGCAACGCGAAGAACCUUACCUGGGUUUGACAUAUGCCGGAAAGCUGCAGAGAUGUAGCCCCCGCAAGGUCGGUAUACAGGUGGUGCAUGGCUGUCGUCAGCUCGUGUCGUGAGAUGUUGGGUUAAGUCCCGCAACGAGCGCAACCCUCGUUCUAUGUUGCCAGCACGUAAUGGUGGGGACUCAUAGGAGACUGCCGGGGUCAACUCGGAGGAAGGUGGGGAUGACGUCAAGUCAUCAUGCCCCUUAUGUCCAGGGCUUCACGCAUGCUACAAUGGCCGGUACAAAGGGCUGCGAGACCGUAAGGUUGAGCGAAUCCCAAAAAGCCGGUCUCAGUUCGGAUUGGGGUCUGCAACUCGACCCCAUGAAGUCGGAGUCGCUAGUAAUCGCAGAUCAGCAACGCUGCGGUGAAUACGUUCCCGGGCCUUGUACACACCCCCCGUCAAGUCAUGAAAGUCGGUA